GCCGUCCCAGUGGCAAAGAGGUAACUCUGCUCGAUCAUAAUGGAGAAUUCGAAGUGAAAAACAUAGACAUUUCACUGCAACGUUACCUGGUUCUUAAACAACGAAAAGGCUGCUUCUCCGCUACUCCUGAUGAUUCCUAUUCGCAAACUGGAACAUAUCUCGCCUUCGUCUUCGCCGACGACAAUUUGCCUAGCAGUGAAGUCGACCAAUGCAUAGAACAUUCUUGUCAGCUGAUCACCAAUUAUGGUGAAUGCAUCCAAACCGCUUGCAGAAGGCAGUAGAAGACACGAGCACCGCAGAAUCAACAGGAUUCUACAUCCGUUAAUAAAUUCGUCCGCAAUUAUGCGCAUAAUUUAGUGAGUCGAGAGUGUGCCACGAACACACCAUAAAAGAUCUGCAUGAUCGUACCAACAUAAUUUCUUGAUGUGUUGCGGAUGCGAAACGUUGGACAAAAUAGGGCUACAU